UAGUCCACACCGUAAACGAUGAAUGCCAGCUGUCGGGUUGCUUGCAAUUCGGUGGCGCAGCUAACGCUCUAAGCAUUCCGCCUGGGGAGUACGGUCGCAAGACUAAAACUCAAAGGAAUUGACGGGGGCCCGCACAAGCGGUGGAUUAUGUGGUUUAAUUCGAAGCAACGCGCAGAACCUUACCAAGGCUUGAAAUCCUAGGAAUCCGAUGUAAUGGUCGGAGUGCUCGCAAGAGAAUCUAGUGACAGGUGCUGCAUGGCUGUCGUCAGCUCGUGUUGUGAAAUGUUGGGUUAAGUCUCGCAACGAGCGCAACCCCUAUCUUUUGUUGCCAGCAUUAAGUUGGGCACUCUAGAGAGACUGCCCGGGUUAACCGGGAGGAAGGUGGGGAUGACGUCAAAUCAUCAUGGCCUUUAUGCCCAGGGCUACACACGUGCUACAAUGGUGCAUACAGAGGGUAGCGAAGCCGCGAGGUGGAGCCAAUCUCAG
rnacentral:rRNA from 1 species